GCCAGCCCUUCCUCACAAGAGUGUUUUGUCACAGUGGUAACUGCUGAAAUGCCUGUUGCUUGUACUUUAGGUCUGCUCUCCAGAUUCUAGCCUGUGCACUCCUGAUCCAGUUCUGGCUCAGUUUCCCAGCUCAUGGACCCACCUGCAAAUCCUCCAGAAGACUCCCUGGUUCUUAAGUCCCAGCUGGCAGCCUCCAUGUUUUCUCAGUCCUCCUGCUCACCCUCCGACGUCCUUACCUUCUCAAGAUCCAGAUCCAUUUGAAGACUCAUCUGCCUCCUGGAGCAGACCCUGCACAUUUCUCCCUGGUGGAUCUCCACCUCCACUCCUAGCCUCUGCUGCCCCUGGUCUGAGCUCCCAUUUCUGGAUUCCUGACAACUUGGAUCAUUUGCCUCAAACCUUUAAAAACUCUGUUAAUCUCCUCUGUGUUCUGCAUGCGAGUAAGAUCAUUGGCAAAACCCACAACAUUUCUGGGCUUACAGCUAGAAACUCCGGUAAAAGUAAUGUUUUUUGGCGUUGUUACAUGUGAAACACCUCUUUUGUCUGAGCCCAUACUAACAUAAUUCAUUACUGAAAAGUUUUUGUUCAAAAGAUCAUCGUAGUUCUGGUAUUAUGUCUUUCAGAGAUAAGAUGCUUGUGGAAAUGUUUGUGUGCAAUGUAUGGUUUCUAACUGUGUGGGGAAGAAAAAAAAAACAGCAUAAAGAACCAGGACCAGCUGUAAAGCACAAAGGUAGAGGAGUGAUUUGGGACCCAGGCACACUGAAGUCACAGAAUCAACCAUCGACACCUGUUUACCUAAGUACUUCCCAAUAAAAUGUGAGGUUGUCAAUCAGACUGACUGGCUGAAGUGGAAUCAAGGAGAAAAGCAAUGAUAAUUACAGGACCAAUUAAAAAGCAUUUUAUAAAUGAAAACCUCACAAUGUCAUUGAAUUAACUUAGGAAAACUAAACUGAGUAGGCAGACAUUCCUCAGGAUCAACAAAGUAAUAAUUACUAAAUGUUCCACAACUUGCUAAACCAAAGGCUCUACAUGUUGUUUAACCUUUUUUGUAAUUGUGUAAAACCUAUUAAAAUUAUUCGAAA